UUUUGGGUAUUCAUAGAAUUUCUCACACAAGCUUCAAGGAUUCAUCAAGAGCUACAAGAUUCAAGCUUUAGGUAUUUGUGGGAGUUGUAAUUCAAGGGAAGUCAUAUUAGCUUCCUAGCUAAUUGUGGCUACCUUUGUGUUCUCCUACACUUCUAUAAUCUUUUCUCUUUGAAUUUUGUAUCUUUGAUGUUCAUAGUUAUGGGUUGUGAGUAAUUUCUUUGUUGGGAGUUAGGGUUGUGAAGCCCUAACUCAUCUUGUAUAAAUAUUGAUGCUUUAAUUUUAAUAAAUGCAAUUUCCAUUGUCUUGCUUGGGUCUCUAUUAUCUUGCUCUCUAGGCCUCUAAUUUUGGAUAUUGCGGCCUUAACCGGCGUAAUGCCCAAAUUAGAGAGUUGAUUGUGGCCCUAACCGGCAUAAUUGAUACACCGAAAGGAUAAUUGGUUUAGUAGCCUUAACCGGUACUAGAUACGAGACUUGACACAUAUAGGAAAUGCAUGCAUUUGUAAAAUUGGCAUUGAUAUUUGCAAGAUAGUUAGUGUGAAUCACCCGACACUCCCAUGUUCCCAUUAAUUUGAAAACCCAAAUUUAAUUUUCUAGUUCGUUAAUUAGUUGUUUAGUUUACUUUUCGGUUGCGUUUAAUUUAGUUGAUUCCCAAUUC
rnacentral:lncRNA from 1 species